rnacentral:pre_miRNA from 1 species
UAUUUAUUUGAUUGCUUACCUGUUACAACUGUGCAUUGUAGUUGCAUUGCAUGAAAUAUAACUAUGCAAUACUUCUACAGUGCAACUCUUGUGGCAGAUU